GCAGCUGUGUUAUUAAACUUGCGAUACAUCACUGUUCUCAUCAAUUUAGUAUGUGGUAUGUCCUGUAUCCGAGGACAAUGUAUUACAUGGAGUUUUAGAAAUAGAGAUAGGAUACGAGUUUGCGCCAUCUAUUCCAUGCAUUGAUCUUGUAUUGCAGUAUCUCUAGAAAUUGUGUAUCUCUC
rfam:Tupaia chinensis contig109754, whole genome shotgun sequence.